rnacentral:rRNA from 1 species
GACGAACGCUGGCGGCGUGCUUAACACAUGCAAGUCGAACGGAAAGGCCCUUCUUUUGUGGGGUGCUCGAGUGGCGAACGGGUGAGUAACACGUGAGUAACCUGCCCUUGACUUUGGGAUAACUUCAGGAAACUGGGGCUCAUACCGGAUAUGAGCUCCUGCUGCAUGGUGGGGGUUGGAAAGUUUCGGCGGGUGGGGAUGGACUCGCGGCUUAUCAGCUUGUUGGUGGGGUAGUGGCUUACCAAGGCUUUGACGGGUAGCCGGCCUGAGUGGGUGACCGGCCACAAUGGGACUGAGAGACGGCGCAGACGGCUACGGGAGGCAGAAGGGGGGAAUAUUGCACAAUGAGCGGAAGCCUGAUGCAGAAACGCCGCGGGCGGGAUGACGGCCUUCGGGGUGUAAACCGCUUUCGCCUGUGACGAAGCGUGAGUGACGGUAAUGGGUAAAGAAGCACCGGCUAACUACGUG